AGUUCAGCUGGUCAGAGCAUGGUGCUGGUAACACCAAGGUUGUGGGUUAAAUCCCCGU
rfam:Taeniopygia guttata chromosome 8, whole genome shotgun sequence.